AACGCUGGCGGCGUGCUUAACACAUGCAAGUCGAACGGAACUCUUUGGAUCAAGACUUCGGUCAAGUGAAUUUGAGUUUAGUGGCGGACGGGUGAGUAACGCGUGAGGAACCUGCCUUUCAGAGGGGGACAACAGUUGGAAACGACUGCUAAUACCACAUAACGUAUAGAGAUCGCAUGGUCUUUAUACCAAAGAUUUAUCGCUGAAAGAUGGUCUCGCGUCUGAUUAGCUAGUUGGUGAGGUAACGGCUCACCAAGGCGACGAUCAGUAGCCGGUCUGAGAGGAUGAACGGCCACAUUGGGACUGAGAUACGGCCCAAACUCCUACGGGAGGCAGCAGUGGGGAAUCUUCCGCAAUGGGCGCAAGCCUGACGGAGCAACGCCGCGUGAGUGAAGAAGGUUUUCGGAUCGUAAACCUCUGUCCUAUGGGACGAACAAAUGACGGUACCAUAGGAGGAAGCCCCGGCUAACUACGUG
rnacentral:rRNA from 1 species